rnacentral:rRNA from 1 species
GAUGAACGCUGACAGAAUGCUUAACACAUGCAAGUCAACUUGAACUUCGGUAUGGGUGGCGGACGGGUGAGUAACGCGUAAAGAACUUGCCUCACAGUUAGGGACAACAUUUGGAAACGAAUGCUAAUACCUGAUAUUAUGAUUUUAGGGCAUCCUAGAAUUAUGAAAGCUAUAUGCGCUGUGAGAGAGCUUUGCGUCCCAUUAGCUAGUUGGAGAGGUAACGGCUCACCAAGGCGAUGAUGGGUAGCCGGCCUGAGAGGGUGAACGGCCACAAGGGGACUGAGACACGGCCCUUACUCAUACGGGAGGCAAGAGUGGGGAAUAUUGGACAAUGGACCAAGAGUCUGAUGCAGCAAUUCUGUGUGCACGAUGAAGUUUUUCGGAAUGUAAAGUGCUUUCAGUUGGGAAGAAAAAAAUGACGAUACCAACAGAAGAAGUGACGGCUAAAUACGUG